rnacentral:rRNA from 1 species
CAGUAGCCACGGUAAUACAAAGGGUGCAAGCGUUACUCGGAAUUACUGGGCGUAAAGCGUGCGUAGGUGGUGGUUUAAGUCCGUUGUGAAAGCCCUGGGCUCAACCUGGGAAUUGCAGUGGAUACUGGGUCACUAGAGUGUGGUAGAGGAUAGUGGAAUUUCCGGUGUAGCAGUGAAAUGCGUAGAGAUCGGAAGGAACAUCUGUGGCGAAGGCGACUAUCUGGGCCAACACUGACACUGAGGCACGAAAGCGUGGGGAGCAAACAGGAUUAGAUACCCCCGUAGUCCCUGUCUCUUAUAC